GACAGAGGCCUCAAGCGUUAGGCGGAAUCACUGGGCUUAAAGCGCGUGUAGGCGGGACGGCACGUCGGCCGUUGAAAUCCCCCGGCUCAACCGGGGAAGGGGCGCCGAUACGACCGUCCUGGAGGAACGUAGGGGGAGCUGGAACUUCCGGUGGAGCGGUGAAAUGCGUUGAGAUCGGAAGGAACGCCCGUGGCGAAAGCGAGCUCCUGGACGUUUUCUGACGCUGAGACGCGAAAGCCAGGGGAGCGAACGGG
rnacentral:rRNA from 1 species